rnacentral:rRNA from 1 species
CCUACGGGUGGCAGCAGUCGAGAAUCAUUCACAAUGGGGGAAACCCUGAUGGUGCGACGCCGCGUGGGGGAAUGAAGGUCUUCGGAUUGUAAACCCCUGUCAUGUGGGCGCAACUUAAAAAGAUAGUACCACAAGAGGAAGAGACGGCUCACUCUGUGCCAGCAGCCGCGGUAAUACAGAGGUCUCAAGCGUUGUUCGGAAUCACUGGGCGUAAAGCGUGCGUAGGCUGUUUCGUAAGUCGUGUGUGAAAGGGGCGGGCUCAACCCUCGGACGGCACAUGAUACUGCGAGACUAGAGUAAUGGAGGGGGAACCGGAAUUCGCGGUGUAGCAGUGAAAUGCGUAGAUAUCGAGAGGAACACUCGUGGCGAAGGCGGGUUCCUGGACAUUAACUGACGCUGAGGCACGAAGGCCAGGGGAGCGAAAGGGAUUAGAUACCCCUGUAGUC